rnacentral:rRNA from 1 species
GACGUAGGGCGCGAGCGUUGUCCGGAAUUAUUGGGCGUAAAGAGCUCGUAGGCGGUUUGUUGCGUCGGCUGUGAAAUCCCGAGGCUCAACCUCGGGUCUGCAGUCGAUACGAGCAAACUAGAGUGUUGCAGGGGAGACUGGAAUUCCUGGUGUAGUGGUGAAAUGCGUAGAUAUCGGGAGGAACACCAGUGGCGAAGGCGACUUCCUGGCCUGUUCUUGACGCUGAGGCGCGAAAGCUAGGGGAGCAAACGGG